AUAGAAUCCCUUGAACCCUGGGUGGCGGAGGUUGCAGUGAACCGAGAUUGUGCCACUGCAUUCUAGCCUGGGUGACAGAG
rnacentral:snRNA from 1 species